rnacentral:misc_RNA from 1 species
GAUGAAGAACGUAGCGAAAUGCGAUACGUAAUGUGAAUUGCAGAAUUCAGUGAAUCAUCGAAUCUUUGAACGCACAUUGCGCUCUCUGGUAUUCCGGAGAGCAUGCUUGUUUGAGUAUCAGUAAACACCUCAACUCCUUUAUUGUAGUUGGACUUGAGCUAUCCCAACAGGACUUUUUGUUCCUGGCGGGAGGCUUGAAAUGCAGGUGCAGCUGGACUUUCUUCUGAGCUAUAAGCAUAUUUAUUUAAUCCCUUAACACGGAUUAUUACUUUUUUGCUGCAGCUAACAUAAAGGUUGAAUUUCCAUUGAGCUGACUGAUGCAGGAAUUUGGCAAGGAAUUUUUUUAAUGACUUGUUAAACUCGAUCUCAAAUCAAGUAAGACUACCCGCUGAACUUAAGCAUAUCAAUAAGCGGAGA